rfam:Brachypodium distachyon strain Bd21 chromosome 4, whole genome shotgun sequence.
UAUGUACUCCUUCCGUCCAACAAAAGAUGUCUCAAGUUUGUCAAAAAUUGGAUGUACUUAGACAUGAAUUAGUGUAUAGAUGCAUUCAGAUUUAAUCAAAAUUGAGACGUCCUUUGUUGGACGGAGAAAUUACUGG